CCUGGCUCAGGAUGAACGCUAGCUACAGGCUUAACACAUGCAAGUCGAGGGGAAACGACAUCGAAAGCUUGCUUUUGAUGGGCGUCGACCGGCGCACGGGUGAGUAACGCGUAUCCAACCUGCCCAUCACUUGGGGAUAACCUUGCGAAAGUAAGACUAAUACCCAAUGAUAUCUCUAGAAGACAUCUGAAAGAGAUUAAAGAUUUAUCGGUGAUGGAUGGGGAUGCGUCUGAUUAGCUUGUUGGCGGGGUAACGGCUCACCAAGGCGACGAUCAGUAGGGGUUCUGAGAGGAAGGUCCCCCACAUUGGAACUGAGACACGGUCCAAACUCCUACGGGAGGCAGCAGUGAGGAAUAUUGGUCAAUGGACGAGAGUCUGAACCAGCCAAGUAGCGUGCAGGAUGACGGCCCUAUGGGUUGUAAACUGCUUUUAUAAGGGAAUAAAGUGAGUCUCGUGAGACUUUUUGCAUGUACCUUAUGAAUAAGGACCGGCUAAUUCCGUGCCAGCAGCCGCGGUAAUACGGAAGGUCCGGGCGUUAUCCGGAUUUAUUGGGUUUAAAGGGAGCGUAGGCCGGAGAUUAAGCGUGUUGUGAAACGUAGACGCUCAACGUCUGCACUGCAGCGCGAACUGUUUUCCUUGAGUACGCACAAAGUGGGCGGAAUUCGUGGUGUAGCGGUGAAAUGCUUAGAUAUCACGAAGAACUCCGAUUGCGAAGGCAGCUCACUGGAGCGCAACUGACGCUGAAGCUCGAAAGUGCGGGUAUCGAACAGGAUUAGAUACCCUGGUAGUCCGCACGGUAAACGAUGGAUGCCCGCUGUUGGUCUGAAUAGGUCAGCGGCC
rnacentral:rRNA from 1 species